CAGGCAAGACCACCGCGUCUCCCCUCCCUGUCCAGCCACCCUCCGCUCUCACGGCGCUCAGGAAAGUUUCGGGGUCCCCGAGGCGCCUCCUUGCCCGAGGGGUCCGGAGUGCCGGGCCUUCGGGCCGCGGCGUCGGGGAGGGAAGUUUGUCCGGCCGGCGCUCGGCGACCGCUAACUUCGGGUGCGCCCGCCUCGGAACCCGGGGCGUGUGCGGGGGAUGCCCCGAAACCGCGGACCCAACGCGCCGCAAGCGAAGCCACGCGGGCGGAGGGACUCGGCCCCGCGCGGACGCCCAGGACAGGGCGCGGGGGCUGGGGCGGCUCGGGCCGCAAGCGCCAGCGGGGACCCCGCGCCCGCCCCCACCGCCGCCCCAGAGCAUCUUCCCCGCCUCCCCCAGGGGCGGGGACCCGCCAGCCCCCUGCUGCGGCACAGCGGCCCCCCGCCCUGCAGCCCCGGCGGCCCCCUCCCCCGCCGUCCCCCUCCUACCUGGGCCCGGUGAGGGCCGGGGGCUGGCGCCACCGUCACCCGCGAGCGGAGCGCGCGCGCCCAGAUCCCCGGAGCGGCGGCGGCGGCGGCGGCGGCUUCCCCUCCUUCCUCCUCCUCUUCCUCCGCCGGGCUCGCUGGCUCCAGACAGAUCUCCUCCCCCUCGCGCCCUGCCCUCCCCUCCCGGAGCCCGCCGGGCUGGGCUCGGCCUGCGACCGGGAGCGGAGCGGAGCCGACGGGAGCCGGGCUGCGGCGCUCACUGCGUCAAGCGCGGGGCGAGCGCGGGGCGGCGGCGGGGACCGCGCGCUGCGAGCCCGGGGCCGGCGGGGCAGCGGCGGCUCGGGCUGGGGCUGGGGCUGGGGCUGGGGCUGGGGCUGGGGCUGGGGCUCCGGCUCGGGCUCGGGCUGGGGCUCGGGCUCCGGCUCCCGCUCGGGCUCGGGCUCGGGCUCGGGCGCGGUGUCGGCGGCCGCGGCAGCGCCGAGAUUGUAGCACAUUCUUUCUGAGCGUGAUCGAAGGUUUCCU
rnacentral:lncRNA from 1 species